rnacentral:rRNA from 1 species
AUUGAACGCUGGCGGAGUGCUUUACACAUGCAAGUCGAACGGCAGCACGGGGCAACCUGGUGGCGAGUGGCGAACGGGUGAGUAAUACAUCGGAACGUGCCCAAUCGUGGGGGAUAACGUAGCGAAAGUUACGCUAAUACCGCAGACUAUCGACUGAUGAAAGCGGGUGAUCGGAAGACCUCGCGCGAAUGGAGCGGCCGAUGUCAGAUUAGGUAGUUGGUGGGGUAAAGGCUCACCAAGCCAACGAUCUGUAGCUGGUCUGAGAGGACGACCAGCCACACUGGGACGGAGACACGGCCCAGACUCCUACGGGAGGCAGCAGUGGGGAAUUUUGGACAAUGGGCGCAAGCCUGAUCCAGCCAUUCCGCGUGCAGGAUGAAGGCCUUCGGGUUGUAAACUGCUUUUGUACGGAACGAAACGGUUCUCUCUAAUACAGGGGGCUAAUGACGGUACCGUAAGAAUAAGCACCGGCUAACUACGUGCCAGCAGCCGCAGUAACAC